UGGGUGAGUUAUGGUUUCUUUGCUGUUUCCUUUCAGCUUCCAACAUGAUGGAAGUUGGUUAGCAGAUUUGAUCCCACAGAGACAAAAAAAUUAGGUGAUUUCUUCUGAUUUGUCCUUGCCUUGGUGGACAGAGUUACCUGAUACUAUUGCUGGUGAGCGGUAGGAGGUAGAAGAUAUCUUGUCGAAUGAGUCAAGGAGCACAAAAUCUGGUUAUCUGGUUAGCAUCCAGCCUAUUAUAUUUGCAAAGCAAUCACCUGCUCAUAUGGCGCCACCCUUGUGCUUCAAAACAGAAAUUACAGUAAUUUUUUUGGACAAGAACUGCAAUAUAGAAACUAUUCAAGAUUGUUUGCUGGUAUAGGUGACUAUUCAAUUCUAUCAAAGAAGAUAGCCACUGUGAUGCCACAAGUAGGGUCUGAAGAGGGCGAGGUGUAUGCAUAUCUUACCCCUACUCUUCUGUGUGGCAGAGAAGUUGUUUCCGAUAAAUAUUCUAUCAGGUAACACUGAACAUGAUUAAAGUGGCAUCAGUCUGUAAGAAUGAUAUUUCAUUCAAUUUCGGAUGUUUGUUCUCGUUAUAUGUUACAUAUUAUAGUGUACAGAUUGUUAUCCGAUAAUGAAAUUAUGCUUUAGUAUAUAUUGAUUUUAAUGCUUCAUGGUUUACAAUUCAUACACCGAAAUUCAUUGCCCAUGGAUAAAUAAAAACCGUUUCAACAUCAAAAACAAUAAAAAGUAAAGCAAACAGAUAGUAACGCAUUCAAAAUAGGGACCAUAUAUCGCCCAUUGAUUCUAUACCUGAUUCAUAAGUAGAAAGAUUUUCUGGUGCUUUGCUAGGGGCUAACACUCACGAAAUGAAAAAUGUCAAAAUAUGAACAAGGAUGGAUAUUAUUAGAAAUGCAAAAAAAGAAAAAAAGUAUUUGUAAAGC
rnacentral:lncRNA from 1 species